rnacentral:rRNA from 1 species
ACGAACGCUGGCGGCGUGCUUAACACAUGCAAGUCGAACGGAAAGGCCCUGCUUUUGUGGGGUGCUCGAGUGGCGAACGGGUGAGUAACACGUGAGUAACCUGCCCUUGACUUUGGGAUAACUUCAGGAAACUGGGGCUAAUACCGGAUAGGAGCUCCUGCUGCAUGGUGGGGGUUGGAAAGUUUCGGCGGUUGGGGAUGGACUCGCGGCUUAUCAGCUUGUUGGUGGGGUAGUGGCUUACCAAGGCUUUGACGGGUAGCCGGCCUGAGAGGGUGACCGGCCACAUUGGGACUGAGAUACGGCCCAGACACCUACGGGAGGCAGCAGUGGGGAAUAUUGCACAAUGGGCGGAAGCCUGAUGCAGCAACGCCGCGUGCGGGAUGACGGCCUUCGGGUUGUAAACCGCUUUCGCCUGUGACGAAGCGUGAGUGACGGUAAUGGGUAAAGAAGCACCGGCUAACUACGUG